rnacentral:rRNA from 1 species
GGACCAUCAUGUUGGUCGUGCCUAGGUACGUACUGGCAUUAUUGGUUUCUCCCUUCUGACGAACCAUGAUGUCAUUAAUUUGGUGUCAUGGGGAAUCAGGACUGUUACUUUGAAAAAAUUAGAGUGUUUAAAGCAGGCUUAUUAGGCUUGAAUACAUUAGCAUGGAAUAAUGAAAUAGGACGUUUGAUCCUAUUUUGUUGGUUUCUAGGAUUGACGUA